GGAUAUAGUGAUCCGGUGGUUCCGAAUGGAAGGGCCAUCGCUCAAAGGAUAAAAGGUACUCCGGGGAUAACAGGCUGAUCACUCCCAAGAGCUCACAUCGACGGAGUGGUUUGGCACCUCGAUGUCGGCUCGUCACAUCCUGGGGCUGGAGAAGGUCCCAAGGGUUCGGCUGUUCGCCGAUUAAAGUGGCACGCGAGCUGGGUUCAGAACGUCGCGAGACAGUUCGGUCCCUAUCUGUUGUGGGCGUUAGAAGAUUGAGAGGCUCUGACUCUAGUACGAGAGGACCGAGUUGGACAAACCUCUAGUGUACCUGUUGUAGUGCCAACUGCACCGCAGGGUAGCUACGUUUGGAUAAGAUAAGUGCUGAAAGCAUCUAAGUACGAAACUUACCUCAAGAUGAGUCUUCUUUUAAGGGUCGUUGUAGACUACGACGUUGAUAGGCUACAGGUGUAAAGACAGUGAUGUCAAAGCCGAGUAGUACUAAUUACCCGUUAGCUUUCUUAUU
rnacentral:rRNA from 1 species